AGAGUUUGAUCCUGGCUCAGGACGAACGCUGGCGGCGCGCCUAACACAUGCAAGUCGAACGAGCGAGAGAGAGCUUGCUUUCUCAAGCGAGUGGCGAACGGGUGAGUAACGCGUGAGGAACCUGCCUCAAAGAGGGGGACAACAGUUGGAAACGACUGCUAAUACCGCAUAAGCCCACAGCUCGGCAUCGAGCAGAGGGAAAAGGAGCGAUCCGCUUUGAGAUGGCCUCGCGUCCGAUUAGCUAGUUGGUGAGGUAAUGGCCCACCAAGGCGACGAUCGGUAGCCGGACUGAGAGGUUGAACGGCCACAUUGGGACUGAGACACGGCCCAGACUCCUACGGGAGGCAGCAGUGGGGAAUAUUGCACAAUGGGGGAAACCCUGAUGCAGCGACGCCGCGUGGAGGAAGAAGGUCUUCGGAUUGUAAACUCCUGUUGUUGAGGAAGAUAAUGACGGUACUCAACAAGGAAGUGACGGCUAACUACGUGCCAGCAGCCGCGGUAAAACGUAGGUCACAAGCGUUGUCCGGAAUUACUGGGUGUAAAGGGAGCGCAGGCGGGAAGACAAGUUGGAAGUGAAAUCUAUGGGCUCAACCCAUAAACUGCUUUCAAAACUGUCUUUCUUGAGUAGUGCAGAGGUAGGCGGAAUUCCCGGUGUAGCGGUGGAAUGCGUAGAUAUCGGGAGGAACACCAGUGGCGAAGGCGGCCUACUGGGCACCAACUGACGCUGAGGCUCGAAAGUGUGGGUAGCAAACAGGAUUAGAUACCCUGGUAGUCCACACCGUAAACGAUGAUUACUAGGUGUUGGAGGAUUGACCCCUUCAGUGCCGCAGUUAACACAAUAAGUAAUCCACCUGGGGAGUACGACCGCAAGGUUGAAACUCAAAGGAAUUGACGGGGGCCCGCACAAGCAGUGGAGUAUGUGGUUUAAUUCGACGCAACGCGAAGAACCUUACCAAGUCUUGACAUCCCUUGACGAACAUAGAAAUAUGUUUUCUCUUCGGAGCAAGGAGACAGGUGGUGCAUGGUUGUCGUCAGCUCGUGUCGUGAGAUGUUGGGUUAAGUCCCGCAACGAGCGCAACCCUUACUGUCAGUUACUACGCAAGAGGACUCUGGCAGGACUGCCGUUGACAAAACAGAGGAAGGUGGGGAUGACGUCAAAUCAUCAUGCCCUUUAUGACUUGGGCUACACACGUACUACAAUGGCGUUAAACAAAGAGAAGCAAGACCGCGAGGUGGAGCAAAACUCAGAAACAACGUCCCAGUUCGGACUGCAGGCUGCAACUCGCCUGCACGAAGUCGGAAUUGCUAGUAAUCGUGGAUCAGCAUGCCACGGUGAAUACGUUCCCGGGCCUGUACACACCGCCCGUC
rnacentral:rRNA from 1 species